GCGCGCGUAGCUCAAUUGGCUAGAGCACUUUCUUGACGUGAAAGGGGUUCCCUGUUCGAGUCAGAGCGCGCGCACCA
rnacentral:tRNA from 1 species